UCCGCGCGGACGUGGCCCGCGGCCGCUGGCCGGCACCAGAAUAUUGGCAGUGCACAGGAUCUGGGGAGACAGGAGCACACAACAAUGCUGCUGAAAGGAAUCUGAGCCACAGAGCAUGCUUUGUGCCACAGUUACCCAGGUGCUGAAUGCUGCCUACAAACGACUUUGUCGAUGAAGGAAGAAACUGAUUGGGAACUGAAGGCGCCAACUAGUUCCUAAUCCUGUUCAACAUGCGCAAAGGGGUGCCAAAGGACCCAGAAAUAGCUGAGCUGUUCUACAAAGAUGAUCCUGAGGAGAUAUUUGUGGGUUUACAUGAAAUCGGACAUGGAAGCUUUGGAGCGGUGUACUUUGCUACAAAUUCCCACACUAAUGAGGUGGUGGCAGUCAAGAAGAUGUCCUACAGCGGCAAGCAAACCAAUGAGAAAUGGCAGGAUAUCAUCAAAGAAGUCAAGUUUCUGCAACAACUGAAGCACCCAAACACCAUAGAAUAUAAGGGCUGUUACCUGAAGGAGCAUACAGCAUGGUUGGUUAUGGAGUACUGUUUAGGAUCAGCUUCUGAUUUGCUAGAAGUUCACAAGAAACCACUUCAGGAAGUGGAGAUUGCUGCCAUCACCCACGGUGCCUUGCAGGGGCUGGCCUACCUGCACUCUCACUGUAAGAUACACAGGGACAUUAAAGGUCGUGGAACCAGAGAAUUCUAAAUGGGUUGGGUUGGAAGAGUCAUUAAAGGUCAUGGAACCAGAGAAUUCUAGAAUGGGUUGGGUUGGAAGGGUCCUUAAAGGUCGUAGAACCAGAGAAGUCUAAGUGGGUUGGAUUAGAAGGGUCCUUAAAGGUGAUGGAACCAGAGAAUUCUAAAUGGGUUGGUUUGGAAGGGUCUUUUAAGGUUGUAGAACCAGAGAAUUCUAAAUGGUUUUGGUUGGAAGGGUCCUUCAAGGUCAUGGAACCAGAGAAUUCUAAAUGGGUUGGGUUGGAAGGGUCCUUAAUGGUCAUGGAACCAGAGAAUUCUAAAUGGGUUGGGUUGGAAGGGUCCUUCAAGGUGAUGGAACCAGAGAAUUCUAAAUGGUUUGGGUUGGAAGUGUCCUUCAAGGUCAUGAAACCAGAGAAUUCUAAAUGGGUUGGGUUGGAAGGGUCCCUAAAGGUCGUAGAACUAGAGAAUUCUAAAUGGUUUGGGUUGGUGUCUCGCUUCAGUUUAUAGGAGGGAGAGGAUGUUCUUUUUUUAUCUAUAUACCCAGCGUGAGAUUAAGAAGCAACGAUUCAAAUGUUGGUCCGACCAGUUUAUUACAAAUCUUAAUCAGGGAAAUGGGGAAGAGGAGGGCGGACACUAUUAUGAAUUAGGGUACUGGGGAAUGGAAGGAGGGCGAUAGAUAAGAUAGGAAAGAAGUGGCAAGGCAUCUUUAUAGGAAGCAAGAGGGACAUAGUCACCAGCAUGGAUCCAGCGAGGUUCGUAGUUCAGUCUUUGAUCUUCAGUAGUGGUGGGUCGUCUGGCAUUGUUGUUCUAUUGACGACGAAGGACGACGACAACGACCAUGGUGAUGAUGGCCCUUUUUCAAUGCUUCAAAGUGGUUGAGUCAGCUAUCUUUGGAGUGACAGCUCAAAUCCAAAGCGGUUGAGUCAGUUCUCCUUGCGGUGGCAGCUUCUGGCUCUGGGAUCUCAGCAGGAACCUCCUUCGUUCUUAUCUUUCUGGCCUUGCCAGCAGAUAAGAGGAAGCAGGGAGGCACCAACUUGCAUCUUGCCUUCGCAAGAUACAAUGGUAUCAUCCUCCAGCCUGCCAUACCAAGCUGGAGCGGUUUGGCCACAGGCCAGAUGUUCCGCCAGUGAACACUGCUGAGCACUGUCUUCCGCUCUUCUCCAGAGCAAGCAGCUCUGGGGGGGUGAAGGGGUUUCAAAUGUUCCCAAAGCGAUUGUCACACAGUUAGCACUCAUCACUUGCCUCCUUGACAAGUCACUCAGAGUCUUAUCACAAGAAAUACCUCAGGAAGCAAGCUUUGAGCCAAAAAAGACUAAGAAGGAUUCUCACAGUUGGAAGGGUACUUAAAGGUGAUGGAACCAGAGAAUUCUAAACGGGUUGGGUUGGAAGGGUCCUUGAAG